rnacentral:rRNA from 1 species
UGGGGAAUUGUUCGCAAUGGGCGCAAGCCUGACGACGCAACGCCGCGUGGAGGAUGAAGACCUUCGGGUCGUAAACUCCUUUCGAUCGAGACGAAUGGCCUCCGGGUGAACAAUCCGGAGGAGUGACGGUACCGAGAGAAGAAGCCCCGGCUAACUCCGUGCCAGCAGCCGCGGUAAUACGGAGGGUGCAAGCGUUGUCCGGAAUCACUGGGCGUAAAGGGCGCGUAGGCGGCCUGGUAAGUCGGAGGUGAAACGCUGCGGCUCAACCGCAGCACUGCCUUCGAGACUGCUGGGCUUGAGCACGGUAGAGGCUGGUGGAAUUCCCGGUGUAGCGGUGGAAUGCGUAGAGAUCGGGAAGAACAUCGGUGGCGAAGGCGGCCAGCUGGGCCGUUGCUGACGCUGAGGCGCGACAGCGUGGGGAGCAAACAGGAUUAGAUACCCAUGUAGUCCCUGAGCGGGCUGGCAAGGCGCAU